UUACUUGCAGCAGUUAAAAUAUUAUAGAUCUGUAAUAUUGGCAAUUAAGCGUGAUCUAGAGAGCUUUGAUUGGUCAAAGGUUACGCCGGCUUUCCUCCUCAGGGAGUAUUGCUUUAGUUCAUUAAAUGUUCAAGACUCUUUAUGCUGUUGUUAGAAAAAAAUUACACAUUACGUGCGUAUGUUAUAAGCUGGAUGAGCGGCAUUGGUUAGUUUCUUUCUUAACUGUUUUAUUUGUUGUUCUUCCACGAAAAUCCUGUCGUUUUUAUCAUUGAUUCCUUUUUGUAAAGUUUAGGCGUUGAUAAGCGUAUUUGGGAUCUCUCAGAGGGGACAUUAUUGACAGAGCUAAAAGGACACUCAGACACUGUGUACUCUUUGAUGUUUAGUAGAGAUGUGAAUUUGCUGGCCUCAGGUGGAGUAGAUAACUGUGUAAAGCUGUGGAACGCUCGCUCUAUUUGUAAUCCUGAUGAUGACGACGAUGAAGGAACAGACAUGAAGGAACAGACCCGAACCGCGCAUCAAAAGCAACACAUUUGAAAUGGGUUCCUACCCAACCAAGAGGACUCCAGUGCACUGUUUACACUUCACGCUAAGAAAAUCUGUUAUUAUGUCAGGACCUUUCACAGCCUCAUCAUGAGGGCGUAAAUGAGGGUAGGAGUCCAAGAGUGCUUUUGACCUCCUUUACUAGGACCCAAUUCUCCCCCCUCCCUCUUUCCCUCUCCCGUCUUAGCACACAACUGAAAAAUUCUCCUCCGUCCAUGUCAAUGGGACAAGACUAUAGCUGCAUUAUUCUGUACUUGUAAAU